rnacentral:rRNA from 1 species
UACGGGGGGGGCAAGCGUUGUUCGGAAUUACUGGGCGUAAAGGGCGCGUAGGCGGGUGGACAAGUCUCUCGUGAAAGCUCACGGCUCAACCGUGGAAUUACGGGAGAUAAUGUCUGUCUUGAGUCCGGGAGAGGAGGGUGGAAUUCCCAGUGUAACGGUGAAAUGCGUAGAUAUUGGGAGGAACACCGUUGGCUAAGAUGCUUCUCUGGACCUGUACUGACGCUGAGGCGCGAAAGCUAGGUGAGCAAACGUG